rnacentral:misc_RNA from 1 species
UUUCCGUAGGUGAACCUGCGGAAGGAUCAUUCAUAAUAAGUGUUUUAUGGCACUUUUUUAAAUCCAUAUCCACCUUGUGUGCAAUGUCAGGGUUGAUUUUUCUCUCGAGAGGAUCAGCCCCAAACAUCAACUAUAUCUCAACUCUUUGUCUGAAAAAUAUUAUGGAUAAACAAUUCAAAAUACAACUUUCAACAACGGAUCUCUUGGCUCUC